CACCAAUCCUCCUGGGUUCAGAGAUGGAACUUGGGUUAAAUGCAUGGAAUUUAUUCUUAGUCCUUUUCUUAAUUACGACUUUUUAUUUCUCUGGUGUUCUCUAGGGGAGGGGUUAGAGAAGAGAGGAAAAGGAAGAAAGAAAGGGGGCAGGGAAAUAUAGAUUCAAUGCUUUUGUUUUGUUUCUGGGCUGCUUGCUAUCAGCAAAGUAGAGAGAUUUAACGGAUCUUGCCGAGAAUGCAAGCCUCAUUCCAAGGAAGCCAGAGCUCAGAAGACAUGGAACAAAUACAAUGAAAACAUAACUUGAGGUCGGAAAAUGUCCCCUGAAUAUUUAUGUCAAUGUCCUACCUUAGUGAAUAUUACUUAAUACUGUGGCUCCUUUAAAGCAUUUAGCACAUUUGUACCAUGAAGAUACUGAGGCUGCCAUCAUGCUCUGUUAUUCUAAGAGAAAGAUCAACAGCAACAACAACAAUAAUAAUUUAAAAAGCAGAGGAAGAAAGUAAUCCAAGAAGACAGACGCAGAGCCUCUAAGAUCAUGAAGGAUGAUUAAAAGAACAAGUUGGGGAUGAAAAUGGGGAAUCAGAAAGCUUAUCAUCAGUGUGAUUUCAUUAUGAAGUCAGAUGGAAUGAGGAGUGUGUAAAUCCAGAAUCAGAAUCCCAGCGACGAAGCUUUUCUUGCUCUGUUACCUUGGAAAAUGCUUUGAACCAGACCAGAUAAGAAAAGUAAAAGUCUGGAGUGUAAUCCUUCCAAUUGUCUUUUGGCUUCUCUUCUACUUCUACAAAAAGUUCAACAAAAAUUAGAAUUUGAAACAACGGAAAGAGAGAAAUUUUAGGUUAGUAGCUAAAUCCCCAAGGAUACUAAUUAGAGAAAGAUGUUGGAAUUGCCUUAAUGAGUCACUGCCAACGCAAGUCCUAAGGAAGCAAAGACUGUGAGUAAGCAAAGGUAGCCAGCUGCUGGGAAGAGGACAAUAGAGGAAAAGGUCAGAGGGACUUUAAAAGACUGACUGUGGGCUCCCUGAGGGAAGGAGGGAUGGAGAGAGUAUCGGGUCCUAUAGAAUACCUUAAUUGUUUUUAUGACUUCUCUUUUCCAUAUCCAGUUCACAUGUACUCCUUUCUGUGCAUUAAAUUGAGUUUCUAUUGGCUUCUUUGUAACAAAAAGAACUGAACAGAAACACAUAUCUAUUGGACAAAGAGCAAUAAAAUGAUAUAAUAACUGUAUCUGAGGGUUUUUUCAUUUUAAAGAAUAAAAC
rnacentral:lncRNA from 1 species